rnacentral:lncRNA from 1 species
GCAUGAAAAUAAAUAAACUACACAUAAACUAAGACUGUCUGGAGUCCCGGAGUAGGAGAACUCAUCACCUGCUGGCUGGAAUCUGCAACUGUCUGAUCAUGAUAUGCGGGCUACAAUUAGUACCUACAUUAUGAAACAAAGUAGCCACACAGACGUAUAUGUGGAUUAGUACUUUUGGAAUGUACUGAGUAUGCAGGGAUGAAUGCAAUAAGUAAAAUUGAUUUCAUACAUAAUCAUAAAACAUGCAUGAUAAGUAUAAAUGGACUCACCAAUAGGUUGGAAUAAACUGAAAACUAAAAUAUCUUAAAGCAUGAGUGAAAAACAUUCUUUGAUAAGAUGAUGAAUCUCUACACUUAGUUUCUGUAAAACUUUACUUUAAUGAUGUAAGUAUAACUCAAGUUGGGAUAUGGUAAAACAUGGAUACUGUAUGAAUACUGGGUUUGAAACUACGUGAUGGAGACUGACAAAAAUCAAGGAUCUGAGUAUACAAUCUUACUGAGCACGAAUGCAUAAACAUACUAACUUAUCGGAUUAACUGAAUGACUGAUAGUUGAAUACUGGUCAUGUAAGAUUCAAUUGUCAUGUAAGAUUCAAUUGUACUUAGUCUGAAUAACUGGACUAAGACUAUAGAGUACUAUUCAUAUGAGGUAAGGACUGACUGAGCAGCAUGAGAUAACUGAGCAUAAGUGCAUGUAAACUGUAUUAUCUAAGAAUGCAAGACCAAGCGUAUAACAUAAUUCUGAAAUAGUCUGUAAACUAAGGUACUAAAAUACUGAUAACAAAAUAGAUAAUAACUGUCCUCUAUGGUCAAGCCAACCUGAAACUAAAUUGAGUUCUGAGCUGAAUACUGAAUUGGGACUGUAACUUAGACUGUAACUAAGAUUAACUGAUACUGUAACUAAAGUGUUGAGUACUGAGUUUUGAUAAUUAAGUAAUUGAUAUCUGAGUUUACUGACAACUGUAUUACUGAUAACUAGGUGAUUGUUUCUAAUAGUCUUGAUUCUGUAAAACUACACUGAGUUUUAUAUUGAUGUCUGAAAUUAAAACUGUGGGAGGUAAUCAUUUAACCGACAUGCCCUAAAUAAGAUAACUAGGGUCCAACCUGUAACCCCAGUUGGAAGAGUGUCAAUACCAUGCCCAGGUAAAGACACUGAAAAGUCACCUUCAUCUGGCAGGUGCCCAAAAUGAGAACGGUGGUUCCCUCAACUGGUAAGUUAAAUAACCUCAUCAACCCUCAGUAUGGCAGGUUAAUGUCUCAAACUACUUUGGCUAUGUAGUUCUAGAACACAAUGACUACUUCUAAGGAUCACACCCUCUGCUGGCAGGUGAGUCCCCAUCCUUGGGUUUACUCGAUGUUGAAUCCUACUUCCAACUGAAAUAGACACUGGACUGAUUUCUAAACCAUACUAGGCUGGAUUGAACUGUUACUAAUCAUGUUAACUGACUGAACUGGACUGAGUUCAUUGAGUUCUGAUGGCUGAUUGAAUACACUGAGUUCUGUACUGAUUGAAUACUACUGAUCGUGAUAUUUUUGAGACUAUUAUGUAACUACUAUAGCUCUAUAUCAACAGCUAGAUUUUUGGAUAUUGAAUACCCCCAGGACUCAAUAGCUUCAAUAAUAAGACAUAGCAAAUCUUGAAAGCAUAAAAAUAGUCCAUUGUUUACAAUUCAUACACUGAGACAUUUUGACAAACACUUGGGGAUCAUCUUGAAAUUGACUUAACAAGAUAUGGAAAUUUCAUCAAACAUGUGAAAGGCAUGGACAUAAAACAUGAGAAUAUUGUUAAACAUCAUGAAUCUAGGAUCUAUCAUGGUAUUUACUUGAUUAAAGCAUGGAGACUUAAAUUCAUAGCAUGGGGAGUUCAAAAUCUAGCAUGGGAUCAUACAUGGGCUAAAUUGAAUUAAAAAUAUCAUGAAAACAUGAAAUUCAAUCUUUCUUAAACAUACAAAAUAUCAUAAUACUGGAAAAUUCAUUCUUUAAUUUAAAGAAAAGAGUUUUUGGGCUCCAUCGGUGAAAGAGAACUCAUAGAUGAACUCCCACAUAGCUUAAAGCUUUAGUCUUGAAAGAGAAUUGACUUUUCUUGAACGUUCUUGGAUUGGAAAUAACAAUUUCUUGGUUUUCUUGAAGAAGAGCUUGAAUCUUGUUCUUGGGAGAUGAUCUGUAGAGGAAAUCCUAAUCUUGUUCUUGUGAAUAAAAAGGAUUAGGGGAUUUUAAAACUGAUUUAUAAUGGUUAUAUACGUGAUUUUGAUGAUUAAGUCAUUGAAGGUGAAGCAAAAGUCCAAAAUACCCUUCCAAAAUUGUUAGGGAAUUUCUGAAUUUUAAGGGCGACGACUUGUGCUGAUAAGCCGUCACAUAGUUGACGGCCUAUAAACUUAAAUCGUCACUUAGGAGCUGAAUUUGAUGGGUUUCUGGUUUGGGCAGACGACUUGGCUGAUAAGUCAUCACAUAGUUGAUGGCUUAUUAGUUUAGGUUGUCACUUAGUUGACAGACUGACAUGUUAAAGUAAAAUGGGCAUAACAUUUUACUCCGAUAUCGGAUUAAGGUGAAACAAAAUGCGUUGGAAAGAAAGUUUAAAGACCUUUCAUUUUAUAUAAGGUAGAACACGUAACUCAUUAUGUAAAAGGAGUAAUGGUGGAUUGAAGUUGACCCAAGGGGAAUCUUUUACUAAAACUGUAAGACCCCGUAAAAUUUUAUCCUCGUUAAAGCCUCCAAAAUAAGUCUCAUUAAGUUCAACACUAAGAAUUUUCUACAAGGUGACUCAACACUUAGUUUUAUUUUGGACCCUUAAUCUUCGUUUAAUCAUUUUGUGACCUUCCCAACAUUCGUUUCUAGAGAUUUUUAUUGCGUUGUGAUGGGGCAAGGUUGUCGUACGCCUCGGGUAAGUUUCAAAAUUUUUAGACAAGCUUAAGGCUGUGUUUGGAUUGCAUUUCCAGUAGCUAAAGGUUCUGGAGGGGCGCCUCCCAUCUCUUCCCCCCUCUCUAAGUGGGGCGCCGCCUAGCUCCCUCUCUCUCAAAGUAGGGCGCCGCCCAGGUCUCACCACCUCUCUAUGCAGGGCGUCACCUGCCUAGCGCGCCCGGCCAAAUUUCAGCAACUUCAUCCAUUUAAUCGAUGGCUUUAUGGUAAUUUUCAAUGUCUUAUCCUCCUUAACAUGGGAUUCAAUCCCCAUAACACCAAAUUACACUUCAAAACAUCAAAAAUCCUCAAGAACACCUACAAAGGUUUCAAUAUAAUAAACCCCACAGCUAUAGAUUCAACCGUGGAAACUUUAAUAUUUUUACAUAUUCGGAAUCCCCAUCACGAAGGCUACGUGGGAAACGCAAAAUUUUGUGAAUAGCACUACAUUGUUCGGGAAGUCAUUCUAAAGCUUCAAGUUUAAUGUAUGUGGGGUUAUGAUCAAGAACAUCCUUUCGUUCUUGUGCCCAAAGACACUUUAUUUUACAAAGUUAUGAAUUUUAUAUGUUUUGUUAUGAUUUUGAAGCAUGAAUUCAUAUACUAUGUUGAUUAACAUAAGAUUAUGAUAUUAUUGAUAUUUUAGAAGUUAAAUGAUAUAAGAAAGAUGAUAUUAUGCCUUAUGGGUGAAUUUUCCUGAUUUUGAAGGAAUUUAUACGUGUUUAUGAUGUAAAGUUUGAACUUUGAUAAAUUUUCGUAUGAUAUUGAGGCACGAGUUUUGAAAUCUAAUUGAGAUCAUCAUUUUUGAGAAAUCAUGUAUUAUAAACACUUCAAGUUUGAAUGAUUUGUGAUGAUAAUGAAGCUUUGACCUAUUUGGUCGUAAAAAGGGUGUUUUUGAACCCGAGAUGAGAAAAGAAAUCCACUUUUAUUUAUUUACUUAUCUAUUAUGAAAGGGGUAACAUGAUGGCUCUCAUUGUGAAAUGUUGAACUGUUUAUUAGUAGAUUUUCUUUUGAAAAGAUCUGAACUAAGUCGGGGAGUAGUCUUUAGCACCAAGCGGGAGGUAUAGCAGGAUUUGGUACUUUCCUAGAACUACGUUCACCCAUAGGUUGUGAGCCUGAGGAUGAUUUAUGUAGUGAUCACUAGUGUCUGGAUUGAUGAUUUAAGGUCCUACUCCGAUGUCAAGGAUAGGAUAGCUCUCCCCAAUGUGGGUUAGACGUUGGACUCUAUGUGGCUCACAUGGUUUAUGUCGAUUAUAAGAUCUCCGAGUGUAUGUGUGUACUCUUCUAUCUGAUAUGAAAAUAUAAUUGCUUGAAAUCUUGAGUUGUGAAAAUCAUUAUUUUCGAAAGAUUUAAUGAAUAUAUAUUCUAAAGAGAAUGGUUAUGAGAUCUGAUUACACUGAUGAUUUGAAAUCGAGAUGAAAGGGAUUGAGAUUUAUUAUGAUGACUCACAUGUUUUCACUCGAUGUAUUUUACUCUCUUGUGAUUAUGAUGAUUUUGUUCGAGUUAUGUGAGUCACUUGUUAUAGCAUGCAUGCUUCCUGUGAAUACUUAUGAUAUUUGAUUUUUGAAACUUACAUACACCCCCAUAUACUAGGUCCAUAUUCCAUGGUACUGACCUACGUAUUCGUACGUGGGUUACAUUCUCCCUAUAAUGUAGGUUCAGGUGCUCAGUUCCAGACUUGAUCGAGAUUCUCUGAGCAUAUUAAUCUGCAUUUUCUGCAGUGGUGAGUCCUCAUGAUCCGGGGACUAGUUAUCUAGAUUUCCUAAUUUUCUUUGAGUUAUUUAGUUUAUUUCCUAAGUUUGGGUCAGUUGGGGCUACUUGUAGCCUUAAGCACUGUGUGACGCCCCGGGACCCAUUUUUGGGUUAUUACAAACUUAGCAUCAAAGCCUAAGGUUAUUGGAUUCCUAGGGAGUCUGACAAUCCACAUUAAGUAGAGUCUUGAUCAUUGGUGUGUAGCCAUAUCUAUGAGCAAGAGGCUACGAGAUGUUUUAGGAAGAAGGUCAUUUAUUUCUUUCAGAAGUCCAUCGUGCUUAUAGUAUCUCUCUCCUAUUAAUUUGUGCUCUCUUUUUUUAGAAUAUGCCUCCUCUCCAAGCUAGAAGGAAUAACGCUGGUCAGCAACCUCAGCCUACUGAACCACUAAAUGAAAAUGUAUCCCAUGCCAAAUUCUGGGCAGCCUUUCAGGCGCUGGCCCAAGCUGUUACUGUGAAUGUUUAGGACAAUCCGGCCCCAGUUCUAUAGCAGUAGGUAGGUGAUUCAGCUAUUGCUAAGAUUCAUGGUUUAUGCGGAUGAAUCCGCCAGAAUUCUAUGGGUCCAAGGUAGGUGAGGAUCCACAGUUGUACUUAGAGGAGGUGAGGAAGAUCACACAGGUGAUGCAUAUCUCUGAAGAGCAUAGUGUGGAGUUGGCAGCGUAUCAGUUGAAAGACCUUGCUUAUGAUUAGGUAGUUGCUUGGAGGAAGGGUAGAGGUGAGGGUGUCACCCCUACGACUUGGCAGAAGUUCCAGGAUGUAUUCCUAGAUAAGUUUUUCCCUUUGGAGAUGAGAGAGGAAAAGGUGGAGGAGUUCAUGAACUUACGACAGGGCUCAAUGACUAUUAAAGAGUACUGCUUGAAGUUCAAUCAGUUGGCCAGAUACGCUCCUGACUUGAUUACUGAUAACCGGGCCAGUAUGAGUAAAUUUGUGACAAGAGUGUUGGGUUAUGUAGUUAAGGAGUGUAGAUCAUCUAUGCUUAAUAGUGAGAUGAACCUUUCUCGACUGAUGACACAUACCCAAUAGAUUGAAGCAGACAAGAUCAAAGAGAGGGACAGAACUAGGGGGAAUAAGAAAGCUAGGUUCGAGCAGCAUGGACAUGGUCAGACUAGAUCACAGGAAGGGAAUCACCCUCAGUUUUAGAAUCAUUUAUCUACACCAGCACCAUCAUCUGCUAGUGCUCCCUCUUCUAGGGAUAGGCAGGAGCAAAGUAGUAAGUCAUAUAUGUCCAAGACUCAGUACAGUAUUGAAAAUAAGCCAAAUUAUCCUCUGUGUCCUAAGUGUGGUAGGACCCAUCUGCGUGAGUGUUGGGAUGAGAUGAAAGGUUGCAUUGGGUGUGAUGACAGGGGUCACAAACUUAGAGAGUGCCCACAUUCCAGGCAAGGGCGACGUAAUAAUCGCCCUCAGACUCAGACUGCUAGUGCACCAGCUUAGGUAACUCGCCCAGUCCCAACUCAGGGCGUCUCUUCUAGCACCACUUGCGAUCAGUACCAGAAUUGAUUUUAUACUUUACCAUCUUGCCAAGAGCAGGAGGACUCUCUCGAUGUUAUCACCGGUAUGCUCCGUAUAUUUCAGUUUGACGUUUAUGCAUUGUUGGACACUGGGUACAGUUUUUCAUAUAUUAUACCUCUGGUUGCUUUGAAUUUUGAAAUAAGUCCUGAAAGUAUUCCUAAGCCUAUCUUAGUUUCUACCCCAGUGGGUGAGUCGAUUGUUGCCCAGAAAGUAUCCUGUUACAAUCUUUUAUAGAGUCAUGUUGGCUGACCUGAUUGAGUUAGAAAUGGUGGAUUUUGAUGUCAUUCUGGGUAUAGACUGGCUUCAUUCUUGUUAUGUCUCUAUCAAUUGUCGUGCCCGAGUAGUCAAGUUCUAGUUUCCUGAUAAAUCUGUAUCUGAGUGGUUUGGGAGUUCUAUAUCCCCCAAAAGUCAUUUUAUUUCAUAUCUCAAAGCUAGAAAGCUUAUUUCCAAGGGGUUCAUUUAUCAUUUGGUUAGUGUCAAGGACACUAAGUCUGAGACUCCAACUCUCCAGUCAGUUAGUAUUGUUAAUGAUUUUCCUGAUGUCUUCUCAGAAGAUCUCCUAGGGAUACCUCCUGAUAGAGAGAUAGGGUUGGGGAUCGAUCUUCUUCCUGAUACUCAGCCCAUUUCUAUUCUUCCUUACCGUAUGGCACCUGCAGAACUUGAGGAGUUGAAGAAGCAACCCAAACAUCUUCUAGAUAAGGGUUUCAUAAGGCCCAGUAUUUCUCCUUAGGGUGCUCCUGUGUUAUUUGUGAGAAAGAAAGAUGGUUCCUUACGUAUGUGCAUUGACUAUCUCCAGUUGAAUAAAGUCACUGUUAAAAUAAGUACCCUCUUCCAAUAAUAGAUGACUUUUUGACCAAUUGCAAGGUGCAAGUUACUUCUCAAAGAUAGACCUUAGAUCUGGCUAUCAUCAACUCAAAGUUAGGGAGUGUGAUAUCCCGAAAAUAGCCUUCCGAACUCGCUAUGGUCAUUUUGAGUUUCUUGUUAUGUCCUUUGGGUUAACUAAUACCCCAGCAGCUUUCAUGGAUCUCAUUAAUCGAGUGUUCAGAACAUAUCUUGAUAUGUUUGUCAUAGUGUUUAUAGACGAUAUUCUGGUGUACUCCCGUAGUGAGAAUUAACAUGAAAAUUUACUCUGAAUUGUCUUACAAACCCUUCGAGAUCAUCAAUUAUUUUCCAAAUUCAGCAAGCGUGAGUUUUGGAUAAGGUCAGUUGCUUUUUUGGGUCAUAUUAUUUCUUCCGAGGGUAUUAGAGUUGAUCCCCAAAAGAUCAAAGCUGUUAGAAACUGGCCUAGACCUAUCUCUCCGACUGAUAUCCAAAGUUUCUUGGGUCUAGUUGGCUAUUACCGCCAUUUUGUUGAAGGUUUCUCCUCUAUAGCGUCUUCUAUGAACCGGUGGACCCAAAAGAAAGUGAAGUUCUUGUGGUCCGAUUCUUGUGAGAAGAGUUUUCAGGAGUUCAAGGCUCGGCUCACUUCAGCUCCUGUUUUGUCUUUGCCUGAUGGUGUUGAUGGUAUUGUGGUAUAUUAUGAUGCUUCUAGAGUUGGUUUGGGUUGUGUAUUGAUGUAGAAGGGUAAGGUGAUAGCUUAUGCUUCUAGAUAUUUAAAACCACACGAGAAGAAUAACCCCACCCAUGACCUUGAGUUAGCUGCUGUUGUGUUUGCUUUGAAAAUCUGGAGACACUACUUGUAUGGUGUCCAUGUCGAUGUGUUUACCGAUCAUAAGAGUCUGUAGUAUGUAUUUACCCAGAGGGAGUUAAAUCUUAGACAGAGAAGAUGGUUAGAGCUGUUAAAAGAUAAUGACAUGAGUGUGUUAUACCAUUCGUACAAGGCCAAUGUAGUAGCAGAUGCCCUAAGCAAGGUGUCUAUGGGUAGUGUUUCACAUAUUGAAGAGGGUGAGAAAGAGUUGGCUCGUGAUAUGUACCGUUUGGAUAGACUGGGGUUAGGUUGUUUGACUCUGCUGAAGGUAGUAUAGGGGUCCAGAGUAGUUUUGAAUCCUCCUUAGUUUCAGAAGUAAAGGAGAAGCAAGACUUAGAUGCUAGUUUUCUCAGACUGAAGGAGUCAGUCAAGGAACAAAAGAUGGAGGUUUUCUCCUAAGAGGGAGAUGGUGUGUUGAGAUUGCAGGGUAGAUUGUGUGUCUCGAAUGUUGAUGAUCUGAGACAAAGAACCAUGACUGAAGCGCAUGGGGCGUGAUAUUCUAUUCAUCCUAGUACCACCAAGAUGUACCGCAACUUGCAGGAAAUUUAUUGGUGGAGUGGCAUGAAGAAAGAUAUAGCAGUAUUUAUGGCUAAUUGUGCAACGUGCCAACAGGUUAAGGUAGAACACCAGAGACCUGGCGGUAUGAUACGGGAGUUUAGCAUUCCCGCUUGGAAGUGGGAAGAGAUAAAUAUGGAUUUUAUGACUGGUUUACCUCCUUUUCAAUGCCAUCAUGAUUCUAUUUAGGUUGUGGUUGAUAGAUUGACUAAGUCUGUGCACUUCUUGCCUGUGUAUACUUCCUAUACUGCUGAAGAUUACGUUAGAUUGUACAUCCGAGAGUUAGUCAGAUUGCAUGGAGUUCCCUUGUCUAUCAUUUCAGAUAGGGGUACUCAGUUCACUGCGCAUUUCUGGAGAGCUUUUCAGAAGGGUCUCAGUACCCAGGUACUUUUGAGUUCUGUUUUUCAUCCGCAGACAGAUGGUAAGGCUGAGAGGACCAUCCAGACUUUAGAGAAUAUGUUGAGAGCGUGUGCUCUUGAUUUUAAGGGGAGUUGGGAUAAACAUUUACCGUUGAUAGAGUUUGCUUACAAUAACAGUUAUCACUUUAGUAUUGGCAUGGCCCCGUUUGAGGCUUUGUAUGAGAGGAAAUGUAGGUCACCCAUAGGUUGGUUUGAAGUGGGUGAAGCUGCUGUGAGUGGUCCUGAUUCGGUGUUAGAGGCUAUAGAAAAAUUCAAGUUGAUUAGAGAGAGGCUAAAAAUAGUUCAGAGUCGUCAAAAAUCGUAUGUGGAUGUUAGGAGAAGAGACCUUGAGUUCGAGGUUGGCGACUUGGUGUAUUUGAAAAUUUCGCCCAUGAAAGGGGUGAAGUGAUUCAAAAUGAAGGGAAAGCUUAGUCCCCGCUAUGUUGUCCCUUACAGAGUUCUUAGCCGUGUUGGUAAGUUAGCUUAUAAGGUUGAGUUUCCUUCUGAGUUGUCUGUUGUACAUCUGGAGUUCAAUGUUUCUAUGCUUCAAAAGCAUAUUAACGAUUCUGUGGUAGUGGAUUCUCCUGUGAGUGCUGAAGUUCAGGAUAGUCUUUCCUUUAAUGAGAUCCCUGUUGAGAUCCUUGAUUUCCAAGUCCGAAGACUAAGGAACAAAGAAGUUCCCUUGGUCAAGGUAUUGUGGCAAAACUAAUCUGUUAAGGGUGCAACUUGGGAAACCGAGGCAGAUAUGCGAUCCAAAUACCCGCACCUAUUUUCCGCAACCUCCGAUCAAGACGAAGGUACCAUUUUUCUCUAAAUCAUGUACUUUUUGUUCAAAAUUGCAGCAGUUCAGCUGCUAUUUCUUAUUGUUCAGCUGUUAUUUCAAGAAUUUAUACAUUCUAUGUUGUAUCCGGAGUUUAGAAAGAUGUGGAGAUGAUUUUAAUAAGUGGUCUCAGCGGUAUGCUUUGUUUCCUGUGUACUCUUGGCAUAUCUAGCAUCAUUCGGGGAUGAAUAUGUCCAAGGGGGAGAUAAUGUAAGACGCCAUAAAAUUUCAUCCUCAUUAAAGCCUCCAAAAUAAGUCUCAUUAAGUUCAACACUUAGAAUUUUCUACAAGGUGAUUCAACACUUACUUUUAUUUUGGACCCUUAAUCUUUGUUGAAUCUUUUCUUGACCUUCCCGACGUUUGUUUCUAGAGAUUUUUGUUGCGUUGCAAUGGGGCAAGGUUGUAGUACGCCUCAGGUAAGUUUCAGAAUUUUUAGACGAGCUUAAGACUGUGCUUGGGUUGCAUUUCCAGUAGCUAAAGGUGCUAGAGGGGCGCCGCUCAGAUCUUCCUCCCUCUCUAAGUGGGGCGCCGCCUAGCUCUCCCCCCCUCUCAAAGCAGGGCACCACCCUGGUCUCACCCCCUCUCUAUGCAGGGUGCCGCCUUGUCUAGCGCACCCGACCAAAUUUCAGCAACUUCAUCUGCUUAAUUGAUGGAUUUAUGGUAAUUUUCAAUGUCUUAUCCUCCUUAACAUGGGAUUCAAUCCCCAUAACACCAAAUUACACUUCAAAACAUCAAAAAUCCUCAAGAACACCUACAAGGGUUUCGACUUAAAAACCCCCAUAGCUAGAGAUUCAACCAUGGAAACUUUAAUAUUUUUACACAUUCGGAAUCCCCAUCACGGAGGAUAUAUGGGAAACACAAAAGUUUGUGAAUAGUACUACAUUGUUCGGGAAGUCAUUCUAAAGUUUCAAGUUUGAGGUAUGUGGGGUUAUGAAGAAGAAUAUCCUUUCGUUCUUGUGCCCAAAGACACUUUAUUUUACAAAGUUAUGGAUUUUAUAUGUUUUGCUAUGAUUUUGAAGCAUGAAUUCAUAUACUAUGUUGAUUAUCAUAAGAUUAUGAUAUUAUUGAUAUUUUAGAAGUUGAAUGAUAUGAGAAAGAUGAUAUUUUAUGCCUUAUGGCUUAAUUUUCCUGAUUUUAAAGGAAUUUAUACGUGUUUAUGAUGUAAAGCUUGAACUUUGAGAAAUUUUUGAAUGAUAUUGAGGCAUGAGUUUUGAACUCUAAUUGAGAUUGAGAAAUCAUGUGUUAUAAACACUUUGAGUUUGAAUGAUUUGUGAUGAUAAUGAAGCUUUGACCUAUUUGGUCGUAAAAAAGGGUGUUUUUGAACCCGAGAUGAGAAAAGAAAUCCACUUUUAUUUAUUUACUUAUCUAUUAUGAAAGGGGUAACAUGAUGGCUCCCAUUGUGAAAUAUUGAACUGUUUAUUAGUGAAUUUUCUUUUGAAAAGAUCUGAGCUAAGUCGGGGAGUAGUCUUUAGCACCGAGCGGGAGGUAUAGCAGAAUUUGGUAAUUCCCUAGAACUACGUGCCCCGUAGGUUGUGAGCCUGAGGAUGAUUUACAUAGUGAUCACUAGUGUCUGGAUUGAUGAUUUAAGGUCUUACUCCGAUGGCAAGGAUAGGAUAGCUCUCCACAACGUGGGUUAGACGCUGGACUCCGUGUGGCUCACAUGAUUUAGGUCGUUUAUAAGAUCUCCCUGUGUGUGUGUGUACUCUUCUAUCUGAGAUGAAAAUAUAAUUGCUUGAAAGCUUGAGUUGUGAAAAUCAUUAUUUUCGAAAGAUUUAAUGAAUAGAUAUUCUAAAGAGAAUGGUUAUGAGAUCUGAUUACACUGAUGAUUUGAAAUCGAGAUAAAAGGGGUUGAGAUUUAUUAUGAUGACUCACAUGUUUUCACCCGAUGUAUUUUACUCUCUUGUGAUUAUGAUGAUUUUAUUUGAGCUAUGUGAGUCACUUGUUAUAGCAUGCAUGUUUCCUGUGAAUACUUAUGAUAUUUGAUUUCUGAAACUUGCAUACACCCCUAUAUACUCGGUUCAUAUUCCAUGGUACUGACUCACGUAUUCGUACAUGGGAUACAUUUUCCCUAUAAUAUAGGUUCAGGUGUUCAGUUCCAUACUUGAUCGAGAUUCUCUGAGCAUAUUGAUCUAUAUUUUCUGCAGUGGUGAGUCCUCAUGAUACGGGGACUAGUUAUCCAGAUUUCCUCAUUUACUUUGAGUUGUUCAGUUUAUUUCAUGAGUUCGGGUCAGUUGGGGUUUGUCCCAAUGGCUCAUUGAUAUACAGUUUAGUAGAGGCUUGUAAGGCUAGAUGGUUAGAUCGAUCAGAUUUGUCAGAGAUGUCGCAUUUUGUUACUUUUCGUAUUUCAUUCGUACUGCAGUUUGAUAUCAUGGAGGAUGUUUAGAUAUUUUGACUAUAAUGAUCUUGGUGAUAAGUGAUGAAUGGUAGAAAAAUGGCUCAAAGGGUUAUCUUGGGGCUACUUGUAGCCUUAAGCACCGUGUGACGCCCCGAGACCCAUUUUCGGGGCGUUACAAAAACUUAAUCAAUAGAAGUGCUCACAACUCGUCCUAGAGUUAGAAGGAUAUUAUGACCUUGAUCAAUACCCAAAGAUAUUCCCACUUAAUAUAUUUGAUAAUCACACAACAUAGAAUAAUUAGGUUUAAGUCUGUAUGCGUAGGAAUAACGAUUUAGAUUCUAGCCCGAAAAUGUGGGGUGUUACAGACAUACAUUAAGGUCACGAUCUAAUUGGUCAUGAGUGACACUCAUCCUAACUCUACAGUGGGAGAACCAUCUAACUCAAUCCUUAACCAUCUAAAUUAGAUCUUCACAAGACAUUUUCCUUAAAUACUAAGAUUAAUUCACUAAAACAUAAUGUUAAUCAAUCAAGUUCAAUACUAAAUUAAUAUUUGUCAGCAAAAUAGAAUGCAGAAGUAUAUGUAAUUAUUACAAUUUCGAGGCCUAAAAGUCACCGUACAAGAAUAACUAAACAGUAUUUAGAAUCAAGUCUAAAAUAUAAGUCGAUAUAUUAAAUAAAGAAAAAUUUUAGUUCUGAAACAAAAGACAUAAAUAAUAUGAUAAUGAUCCAAUGGUUGUUCGAACACGGAGCUUACCCUUGAAUUGAUGUCUGAAUCACGAACUAGAAUCGAGAUCUCAUUUCAAAUGCUGAAACAUGCUCCGCACUCAUCAAAAAGAAGAUUACAAGUAGUAUCAAUACAGCAACUAAAUAAUGUUAUGCAUCAUCGAUCGACUCAACUCAACACCAUACAAAUAGGCAAGUUAAAUGCAAGUAACAACGAUCAAAAUAC